GACGAACGCUGGCGGCAUGCCUAAUACAUGCAAGUCGAGCGAACAGAUGAAGUGCUUGCACUUCUGACGUUAGCGGCUAACGGGUGAGGAACACGUGGACAACCUGCCUCAAGGCUGGGGAUAACAUUUGGAAACGGAUGCUAAUACCGAAUGAAACUUAGUGUCGCACGAUACGAAGCUAAAAGACACUUUCGCGUCACCUAGAGAGGUAUCCGCGGUGCAUUAGCUAGUUGGUGGGGUAAAGGCCUACCAAGACAAUGAGGCAUAGCCGAGUUGAGAGACUGAUCGGCCACAUUGGGACUGAGACACGGCCCAAACUCCUACGGGAGGCUGCAGUAGGGAAUCUUCCACAAUGGGCGAAAGCCUGAUGGAGCAACGCCGCGUGUGUGAUGAAGGCUUUCGGGUCGUAAAGCACUGUUGUAUGGGAAGAACAGCUAGAAUAGGGAAUGAUUUUAGUUUGACGGUACCAUACCAGAAAGGGACGGCUAAAUACGUGCCAGCCGCCGCGGUAA
rnacentral:rRNA from 1 species